rnacentral:rRNA from 1 species
GAUAAACGCUGGCGGCGUGCCUAAUACAUGCAAGUCGAGCGAACGGACGAGAAGCUUGCUUCUCUGAUGUUAGCGGCGGACGGGUGAGUAACACGUGGAUAACCUACCUAUAAGACUGGGAUAACUUCGGGAAACCGGAGCUAAUACCGGAUAAUACUUUGAACCGCAUGGUUCAAAAGUGAAAGACGGUCUUGCUGUCACUUAUAGAUGGAUCCGCGCUGCAUUAGCUAGUUGGUAAGGUAACGGCUUACCAAGGCAACGAUGCAUAGCCGACCUGAGAGGGUGAUCGGCCACACUGGAACUGAGACACGGUCCAGACUCCUACGGGAGGCAGCAGUAGGGAAUCUUCCGCAAUGGGCGAAAGCCUGACGGAGCAACGCCGCGUGAGUGAUGAAGGUCUUCGGAUCGUAAAACUCUGUUAUUAGGGAAGAACAUAUGUGUAAGUAACUGUGCACAUCUUGACGGUACCUAAUCAGAAAGCCACGGCUAACUACGUGCCAGCAGCCGCGGUAAUACGUAGGUGGCAAGCGUUAUCCGGAAUUAUUGGGCGUAAAGCGCGCGUAGGCGGUUUUUUAAGUCUGAUGUGAAAGCCCACGGCUCAACCGUGGAGGGUCAUUGGAAACUGGAAAACUUGAGUGCAGAAGAGGAAAGUGGAAUUCCAUGUGUAGCGGUGAAAUGCGCAGAGAUAUGGAGGAACACCAGUGGCGAAGGCGACUUUCUGGUCUGUAACUGACGCUGAUGUGCGAAAGCGUGGGGAUCAAACAGGAUUAGAUACCCUGGUAGUCCACGCCGUAAACGAUGAGUGCUAAGUGUUAGGGGGUUUCCGCCCCUUAGUGCUGCAGCUAACGCAUUAAGCACUCCGCCUGGGGAGUACGACCGCAAGGUUGAAACUCAAAGGAAUUGACGGGGACCCGCACAAGCGGUGGAGCAUGUGGUUUAAUUCGAAGCAACGCGAAGAACCUUACCAAAUCUUGACAUCCUUUGACAACUCUAGAGAUAGAGCCUUCCCCUUCGGGGGACAAAGUGACAGGUGGUGCAUGGUUGUCGUCAGCUCGUGUCGUGAGAUGUUGGGUUAAGUCCCGCAACGAGCGCAACCCUUAAGCUUAGUUGCCAUCAUUAAGUUGGGCACUCUAAGUUGACUGCCGGUGACAAACCGGAGGAAGGUGGGGAUGACGUCAAAUCAUCAUGCCCCUUAUGAUUUGGGCUACACACGUGCUACAAUGGACAAUACAAAGGGCAGCGAAACCGCGAGGUCAAGCAAAUCCCAUAAAGUUGUUCUCAGUUCGGAUUGUAGUCUGCAACUCGACUACAUGAAGCUGGAAUCGCUAGUAAUCGUAGAUCAGCAUGCUACGGUGAAUACGUUCCCGGGUCU